UAGAACGUUUCAAAACAAAAUCAGUGCUUCUUCUCUUAAGUGUUUCAAAAUGCAAUGUGUGUGUCAUUUGAUCUAGAUUGUGAUUCUAGCUUGGGUUUGUUAGUUUGUCUGUUGGUCUUAUCGAGUUUUGGCUUGGGUUUUGUAUGUCAUUUAAUCUUAAUUGUGAUUCUAGCUUGGGUUUGUAUGUGUUUCUGUUGUUCAUGUUUGUGAUUUUGCCAUGACUUUGUUUGCAUAUAGCGAUGUAAAUGAACGAGAGAGCGUGAGGUUUAUGGCGAGAGAGAUUUUGAUACUGAGGCUUGUAUGUUUUGCACCCCAAACAGCUUCUGUUUGUGUAACAUCAUUCCAAUUUGUCUCUCUUUGUACCUCAUUAGACUAAGGCGUUGAACCAGUAGUUUGCUGAGAAACAGAAUUUAAUGUUAGCUUGAACCAUGUGAUCCUUCUUCCAUCGUCAUUGUCCUUGACCAGAAACAACCAGCAAGGCUAAAGCAACGGCCGACAGCUCAGUGAAUGUGAGGCAAUCACAUGAACACAAUUGGGACUCCAGUGCUUCAUAUCGUUCAAUUUUCCAUUACGAUAAUAUAUCCACAAAAUGGUAUUAUAUAACAAGAUCUACAACAUUCUUUGAAAACGACCUUUCUAUACAAUGAAAUGCAUUAGAAUAAUUUUGAUAUUAAGUUAAAAGUGUGGAAGUUAUGAGAUGGGAUUGUUCAAAGAAAUAUAUUGGUUAUCAGCAAACCGGCCGGCAAAGAAACUAGUUUACAAAUUAUAUA